GAGAAACUGGGGAGGUUUUGUUUAGCUAUGAGUCCAGAGAAGCAAUGCCAGCACUCAGAUAAUUGAGGCGCUCCAUUAAACCUCAGCCAGGCAGCUGGGUUCAGGUGCUCUGCAGGCAUCUGUGGAUGGCCAGCCGGCAUCUCCAGACCCUGGUACAAGCAGGAGAUACCUAGGCAUCUUUGCAGAAGAAAUUAUAUGAUGUCUGGGAUUAGUCAAAGGAAAUCUGAUUCGGAGAAAAGAAAUGGAUGGAGGAGCCUCACACGUUGUACUUGAGCAGUUUCCUUGAUGUUGAAUUAUAUGUGUAAUUCAUCCUGGCCAGACUGUGGCUGAGGAGACAGGAUCCAUUUGCCAGUCGGAAAUGAGAUGCUGGUCAUGUGCUGAAGCCAGUCGUCUUUUUUCACCUCAAAAAUGUCUACACCAUCGUCAGUUUGGACAGUUCUGGGAAACAAACAAAUAAAACUCAUGAA